GUCCACGCCGUAAACGAUGUCAACUAGCCGUUGGUCCUAAUUACAGGAUUAGUGGCGCAGCUAACGCCUUAAGUUGACCGCCUGGGGAGUACGGCCGCAAGGUUAAAACUCAAAUGAAUUGACGGGGGCCCGCACAAGCGGUGGAGCAUGUGGUUUAAUUCGAUGCAACGCGAAGAACCUUACCUACCCUUGACAUCCAGAGAAUCUGUUAGAGAUAGUGGAGUGCCUUCGGAGCUCUGAGACAGGUGCUGCAUGGCUGUCGU
rnacentral:rRNA from 1 species